CAGGCUGUUACAGAAAAAAAAAAAAAAGAAAUUAGAAAAAAGUGGCGCACACCUUCUUUCAUCUGAGCACGUUUCUCACGCUGUUUAUGCGGUAGUUUGUGAGUUCAAACGCGGGUCACAAGAGUGUGUUUUAACAGUGGUCUUCAUAUUUUCUCUUUGAAAAGGCUCCAUCAAAAGAUAUGUUUAAAGAGUUUGUGGCAGGUGCGCAUGCAACCCCCCCCCUAUGAGAAAGUAGUUUUUUUUUCUUCCAGAACAAUCCUUGCUCCCACCAGUUUGAAUUUAACAUAUUUUUUACUCCAAAAGGGUGAAAAUCGUUCAAAAAAUUUCCAUCAGCUUAUGCAAAAUUUAACUAAACAAACAUGUACUACCUUAAAAAUAAGAAAUUUAAAUAUUUUUCACUUCAUGUUUGUUUUAUUUGUUUAUUUUAAAAACUAAUUUGGUGUUUUUUUCUCCUAUUUGCCUAUGGCAGGUAUAAAAAAGAUGGAUUUGUGCUUGCCUUUAAGGCCACAUUUAAUCUUUUUUUUUUCAUUGUUUCAUUGCUGAGAUGCAUGCAGCAGGGUUUUUCCAGGUGACAGGUGAUCUGAGACCAGAACACCACCCACACUGCAGUUCGGCAUGAGCAGCAGGACCAGUAGAUAAAGAUCACCUUCUCUGCAGACAGACAGAACGUCUGGAGAAAGGGAAACCUGAAAAGCAAGUGUGUCUCUGUAUCUGUGAAGUUCAUCGAGAAUGAGAGCAUCUUAAGGAAAGCAUACACUUUCUCUGAUGGUUGUGAAAGAGCUAAUUUAGAAAGAAGCACAUGCAAGCAGCUUCAAAACUAAAAGAAGUGCAACUCAGAUGCCAUUUCUCAUGUAAUUACAAGCUGAACCUGGUGGAGCUUAACGCUGCAGUGACAGAUCAUCACGCCGCUGACCUAUUCAUCAUCAUCCUCCCAUCAUGCAUCUCUCUGCAAGGUUCUACACGACUGACUGUCAACCUGUCCUGUGCCAGUCUGAUCCUGUCGUCCACUUUACAGUUAAGCCAUUUCCUGUUUUCAGA